GGCCACAUGACGCUGUAACACCGGUUCCCAUACGAUCGCCGAAGUGAAGCCUGGUCAAUACUUAGAUGGGUGGCCGUUUUGGAAUACUAGGUGAUA